AUGCUGAGGACGCAGCGCCGGAGAGGCAGGUGGCGGCCCCUGCGAAGAGGUGGUCCCCGCAAAGCACACGGAGACCACGAAGUUCCUUCUCGCCCACUCACAGCAAUGCUGCACGAGACCCAAGGGGAGCCGUCAAUUAGAGCCGUGCUUGAGCCUAAGGCUGACCUGAACCGUUUGAAGGCAGAUCUUCCAUGGAGCGCCCCGGUCCUUUUCUGGAAAGGUCAAAGGGACGAGAGGGGGUCUCUGCAGUGUCCUGGAUCUGGUUUCAACCUCACCUUCUCCAUGUAUGAGAAAACAAGUCACUUGGAUUCACUGUGCCUCGGUUUCCCCAGAUGGCGAGCAGGACUCAGUCUUUUGCACCUGGUCCAUCAGAGGACAAGCUUUCAUGUGUUAGCCAUCACCUCCGUCAUCACCAUCAUUGUCAUCAUCAUCGUCCUCAUCACCUCGACACACUGA
rnacentral:lncRNA from 1 species